AAUAGUUCUCUAGAAAACCUUGUGUCUAGAAUUCUCUCUAGCUAGAUAGCUAUAGAAGUCUUAUGUUUCUAGUUCUUUCUCUAGUCUUAUUUAAAUUUUGUUUCAGCUGUGUUUUGGUAACAACACCAACAGACAAAAAGUUGCAGCCCUUGUAUUUGAGUAGUGAAAGUUUUUCCAAAUAAAGUUGUCUCUUGUUCUUUGUUUCUGGUGUUCUUCUUUGUUAUUGGUUUUGGUUCUGAGCAAGAGUAUUUUGUCCAUUCUUUGGUUUCUCUUUAGAUGAAACCAACAGGAAGGUUGUAAUACUCCGGAAAUUUGAUAUUAGUUUCUAAUAUUAUUUAGGAGUUUUCGAGUUAGAAGUUAGUGUGUUUUUGAGGUUCGAAGAAAGAGCGGAAGUGUUCGGACGAGUAAAUUACCCGAAAGGGUUUUAUGAUUUAUUUUGAAGGGUCAAGAGUUGACUUUUUAAUCUGUUGGGUUUCUCGGAAGUUGUAGAGCACGACGAUACGAGUUCGUAGACAUGUGGCACGCGUAAAACGGACUUCGUAUGUGGAAGUUAUGGUCAACAGAAGUUCGUGGUUUUCGGGAAUUUUUAGUAUAACUAUGAACAAGUUAUAGGGUUCCCUCAGUUUUUUUGUCCCGCAUCACUCUCUCCUCUUUUCUUCUCUCCCGCCUCACCUUCAGUAUCCGAGUUUCCCAGACGACCCGACCCGGACCCGGUUGACCCGACCCGGAUUUUCCGGCCACUUCCGACCGAUCUAGACGCCGGCACCGGUUGGGUUCUCUUCCUCUCCUCUGUCUGAGCUGCCCUGUGGUGGUGACUUGCGCCGAUUCCGUCCCAAAGUGGUGACCCGAAGCUUGGAAGUUCGGCUUAGAGACCGGUCGGGAUUCCCACCUCCGGCGGCAGCGACGCAGCUUGGAAACGGUCGGGAUAGGAGCUCCUUAGCAUCCUGGUUCGUUUUCCAGUGGUCUUGAAGCUCGACUCUCGGUGUGGAGUGGUGGUGGUGAAUUCCAACUUUUUCGGUGAGUUUUCGGUGAUUUCCGGCCGAUUCCGGCUGAACUGGUUGGACCUUCAGGUAUGAAAAGUGUCACCCUUGUAGUAAUUUUCAAGUUUGAUGUUGGAAGUUUGUUGAGAUUGUGAAGUUGUAGGGUGGCGCGUGGGGCCCACUCGUCGCCGCCUGUGGUGGCGCGUGGCGGCGCGUUGGGCAGGGUGUGUAGGUUUAGUUACUUUGGUUAGCUAGUUCUUGUUGUUGUGAGCAUGUUGGUAUAUUAUGAGAUUAUGUCAAAUUUGAAUAAGUUUUGCUUGUUAAAUUCUUUGUUAUUGUAGACUUGUGCGAAGUGUUGAGCUAGGAGAAUCUAAAGUUAGGCAGUGGGGGAAGGUAGUUAAGUGUUUGAUGACCUUGGGAGGUCUCGGAAGAAGGUUGUCCCUUUUUGGGCAAAGCUUGGGUUAAGGCUUGUUAAGGGUGCAAUGUUCUUUUGGUUAAGUGGUUAUUAAAGUUAUUAAUUUUGUUAAUAGGUGACUUGUGGAGUGUGGUUUGGUGUUAUAUUCUUGUGUUGUGCGUGCAAAGACGCAGCUGGAUUUGAGGUGAGUAACAUCUCACCAAAGUCUACUUUCGGACCAAUCAUUUAUAAUUAUUAUGAUGAUGAUUGUGAUGUUGAUUUUGAAGAUGAUUAUGAUGAUGAUUGUGAUGUUGAUUUUGAUAUGAUGAUGAUGAUGAUAAUUGUAUGAUGAUGAUGAGAUUAAUGAUAAUGAUGAAAAUGUUGAUGAUAUGAUGAUUAUGAUGAUAAUUAUUAUGAUGACGAUAGUAAUAGUUUUGAUUGAUGAUUAUGAUGCUAUUUUUAAUAUUGUGAGUAAAUCUCACAUGGGUUCUUAAGGAACCAAAUUUAUUUUAUAAUUUUGUUAUUGUUAGUUGUGAAGUUGUUCUUAAAAGGAGAAUGAUUCUUUGUUUUUAAAUAUAAAUGAGUUUGAUAGUCAACGGCUCAUGGGUAAUCAAAACCAUGGGCUCAUGGGUAAUUUAUUUUAUAAUUUUGUUAUUGUUAGUUGUGAAGUUGUCCUUAAAAGGAGAAUGAUUCUUCGUUUUUAAAUAUAAAUGAGCUUGAUCGUCAACGGCUCAUGGAUAAGUGAAAAUAUGUUUUCUGAUAAAAAUAAAUAUUUCAAAAGGACUUUCGAUCAUGUGAUAUUGUUGUUGAUAGAUUAUUCUAGUGGGAAUAUCUAUGUCUUUGUUUAUAUAAAUAUAUCUAGGUGGAAAUAUAUAAUUUAUGAAGUACUCUUGUGUUGUUGUUGAGGAUAUUUUUAUAUUGUGCUUUGAUAAGUGUUAUGAUGGGAGAGUAUUUGAAGGUGUGCCUUAGUGGCGAUUUUGUGCAUUAGUUGUGUAUGUGUGUACCUUAGUGGUGAUUAUUAGAUUAGAAGCCUUCGUGGUGUACCGAGAACCAAGCCUUGGCCGGGUGAUUGGUUACGGUCAGUAUAGAGGUCUAGUCUAUCAGUUAGUACUUCAUGAGGGAUGAUUAAGUGUUGACUAACCCAUGAGUACGCAUUUGUUUGGUUACUUAUGAGAGAUGACUAAGUGUUGGCGAACUCAUGAGUAAGAGUAGAGAAAUGAUUAUGUGUUGUUUAAAUUUUCUUGCUUUGAGUAUCUCCUGAACUACGCUUAUCCGCAAGAGAUUCUUAAAAUCUUAAUUGUGUGAUUUUUAAUAGAAUUCCUGAAUUAUGCUUUUUAUAGGAUUCAUUUAUGAUUUUGAGUGGUUUUGAAUUAUUGUGUUUUUCUUAAUUGUUUCUUUUGAAUUCUCUUGCUUCUAGGUGAUUCUUGAACUAAGUUAUUAAUACAGGAAUUACCAGUUAUAAUUAUAUGUGAUGUUGAGUUUUAUUUUGGGAGUUACUCAUACGAGCUUUUUAGCUUACCAGGUUUGUUGUUUACAACCCGGUGCACCAAUUCAUGGUGUAGGGGUUAGACAUGCAGGUGAUGAUCAGCAGGGUUGAGGCAGUGGCCUAGGAGUUGGGUUUUUGACGAUAUACAUUUAUUUGUAUUUUAUGGUAGUUGUUUUUAAGCUCUUGUGAGCGAAGUAGUUUAUUACUAGACUUUUAAAAGUUGAUGUAAUUAAAGAGAUUAAAUGUUUAACUCGGUUGAUGAGUUUAUCGACAUAUACAUUUCUAGUAUUUGUUUUUAGUUUGAAAAUUAUCGAGCAGCUUGUGGGAUAUUAAGAUUUUGAGUUUUAUCAUGCCUAAAUUUUUGAAAUUUUAUCCUUCAAAAAUUUCAAAAAAUUUCAAAAAUUUAGGUGUGACAAAGGUGGACUCUAUCUCUACGACGGUCAAGUCUUAUCGAAAAAGCUAUCGAUGACCUUCAGAAGCAAGAUGAAUAUGAUCGAAAGGAGCGUGAGUCAGACCUGGGGGUCCUCUUGCAGCUUAAUUACAUGUUCAACUUAGCAACUGGCAAGUGGCGAACAGGUGGAUAGGUUAAUCCAACUCGGUGACCAGUGCACCGAAACUCAUAGACGGAUCCAGACUUAAUGUUUUUAUUUCAAGCUCUUUGCAUCUUGAUCAAAUUCUG
rnacentral:lncRNA from 1 species